UACAGAUGCAGCCGCUGCUCUUGGGCCGGUCCAGCAACCCACGGAGGUCGACCCGCGUGAGAUCAAUGCUAUGUUUUAACAAGAAUGAAAAGAAUACUGAUUGCUACUGGUUUUGAAUGAUACCUAGCUUCAAGCAAAGGCUAAAGAUGAGAAAAGAUAAAGAAAAUUAUCCUCAGAAAAUUGAGGCAAAAAAAGUGUCUGGUAUCAGUGAAAGAAAAUCUGAUGGCAUGAGCAUCUUAGACCAGGACAUCUAAACCAAG